GCCUCUACAAUUGUAUGAGCCAAUUUCCAUAUAUAUAUUGAUACAGAGAAGAUUAGCAUGGUCCCUGUGCAAAGAUGACACAAAUUCCUGAAGCAUUCCAUAUUUUU
rnacentral:snRNA from 1 species